rnacentral:lncRNA from 1 species
CCCGCCGCGCCCGGGUGCCGCUUGCCGCACCCCCGAGCCUGAGCCCGUCUACCUCGUGGCUGCCUGAGGCCCGGAUCUAGGCUGGCUGGGGCGGUGGCUCAUGCCUGUAAUCCCAGCACUUUGAGAGGCCGAGACCGGUGGAUCACGAGAUCAUCAGGAGAUGAGACCAUCCUGGCUAACAUGUUAGCCUGGCCUCCAGAGCUCUUGGACUGCAGCACCCAUAAUGAUGGCCAAAGCCGCCCCCACGGCGACUCCUCCUGCUGAAGCAAAGUCAGGCAGAACAAUAAGAUGAGCAUGGUGGUGCAGGCCUGUAAUCUCAGCUCCUCAGGCGGGAGGAUCACUUGAUCCCCGGAAGUUUGAAGCUGGACUGCGCUGACCGCACCUGUGAAUACCACUGCCCGUCAAUCAGCCUAGGGGAAACAUUCUCGAGUGCGAGCAUGACGGCUUAGGUUGAUGUUUUUCAAAUUUUCCCAAUGAUGAGUAUUGUAAGGGACCAAAAUAAAAAAAUGCCAAUGCCUAGUCCCCUCUCAUCUAGAAUAAUUCCAUAGGUGAUGAUGGGGUCCAGGACUCUGAAUUUCGUCAAUUUUACCAAAUACUUCGUCCAGUGAGGCAAAUAUGGAAACACUUGGAUCACCUCUUCGUGAACGCACAUCAGCGCAUACGCCGGCUGUUUUUAUCAGGCGCUCACCCCUCAUCCAAUGGCGUGACUAGUUGUGGGUGGAGCCCGAAAUCUGGCUGCCUAGAGAAGGCUGAAGGUCCAGUUAUAGCAUAACUAAUGUUUCCCCAGAGCUCACAUACGUGCCAAGCACCGUGCUACAGCCUCCACAGCCCCUUCAUUUAAUCUUCCCGAUGGGCCUAUGAAAUAGGUGCUCCUGGCCCGCACCGUGGCUCAUGCCUCUAAUCCCAGCACUUUGGGAAGCUGAGGAGGGAGGGUCGCUUGAGUCCAGGAUUUCAAGACCAGCCUGGGAAACACACAGAGAGCCUAUCUCUACGAAAAUUUAAAAAAUUAGCCGGGUGUGGUGAUGCCUGACUGUGGUCCCACCUACUUAGUAGGCUAAGGUGGGAGGAUCCUCUGAGCCCGGGAAGCUGAGGCUGCAGUUAGCACUGCACUCCAGCAUGGGCGACAGAGUGAGACCCUGACUCAAAAAAAAAAAAAAAAAAGAAUAGGUGCUACUUGUAGUUCCCAUUUUACCCACCAAGAAACUGAAGAUCUGAGAGACAAAGCCUACAGGGUGACCGCUAGUCACUGGUAGGGCUGGGAUUUGAACAGGGGCGGUUUAACAACUGAUCUCUCGACCAUAAUGCGUGUUGCCCAAGAAAAAAGACCGUCCUCACGGUCCUAUCCACUCCGGACUUUGCAAUUCCGUUAUUUCGUAAAUUGAGGCCUAUAAAUAGUUUGCUUACCCGUUGUCUUAGUCCCCAGUAACAUGCAGAACUAAAGAAGAAACUGAAGGAGCACCGAUUUUGUUCACCUUGCUUUUUGGUUUAGUUCUGGAGGAGAACACAGGUGCACUUAGAACAGGAUCCACACUUACCAGAGGCUUGAUUCAUUUUAGCUGCAAAGAAAACCAGUCCUCGUCUAC